UACGCCCAUGUCACGUUGAAACACCGGUUCUCGUAUGAUCACCGAAGUUAAGCAUCGUCGAUCCUGGUCAGAAUCUAGAUUGGUGACCGCUUAGGAAUACCAGGUCAUGU
rnacentral:rRNA from 1 species